AACGUAGGACGCAAGCGUUAUCCGGAGUUACUGGGCGUAAAGCGCGGGCAGGCGGCUCGAAACGUCUGAUGUGAAAUCUCCUCGCUCAACGGGGAGAGGCCAUUGGAAACGGUCGAGCUGGAGGGCAGUAGAGGUAGGCGGAAUUCCGGGUGGAGUGGUGAAAUGCGUAGAGAUCCGGAGGAACACCGGAGGCGAAGGCGGCCUACUGGGCUGCACCUGACGCUGAGCCGCGAAAGCCAGGGGAGCGAACGGG
rnacentral:rRNA from 1 species